rnacentral:tRNA from 1 species
GGUAAGAUGGUCGAAUGCUAGGCGGUAGGCUGUAGUCCUAUUUAUAGGGGUUCAACUCCUCUUCUUACCA